CCUACGGGGGGCAGCAGUGAGGAAUAUUGGUCAAUGGACGAGAGUCUGAACCAGCCAAGUAGCGUGAAGGAUGACUGCCCUAUGGGUUGUAAACUUCUUUUAUAUGGGAAUAAAAUGUUCCACGUGUGGGAUUUUGUAUGUACCUUAUGAAUAAGGAUCGGCUAACUCCGUGCCAGCAGCCGCGGUAAUACGGAGGAUCCGAGCGUUAUCCGGAUUUAUUGGGUUUAAAGGGAGCGUAGGUGGAUUGUUAAGUCAGUUGUGAAAGUUUGCGGCUCAACCGUAAAAUUGCAGUUGAAACUGGCAGUCUUGAGUACAGUAGAGGUGGGCGGAAUUCGUGGUGUAGCGGUGAAAUGCUUAGAUAUCACGAAGAACUCCGAUUGCGAAGGCAGUUCACUGGACUGCAACUGACACUGAGGCUCGAAAGUGUGGGUAUCAAACAGGAUUAGAUACCCUUGUAGUC
rnacentral:rRNA from 1 species